CCUACGGGAGGCAGCAGUGGGGAAUAUUGCACAAUGGGGGAAACCCUGAUGCAGCGACGCCGCGUGAGUGAAGAAGUAUCUCGGUACGUAAAGCUCUAUCAGCAGGGAAGAAAAUGACGGUAACUGACGAAGAAGCCCAGGCUAACGACGUGCCAGCAGCCGCGGUAAUACGUAGGGGGCAAGCGUUAUCCGGAUUUACUGGGUGUACAGGGAGCGUAGACGGCAGCGCAAGUCUGGAGUGAAAUGCCGGGGCCCAACCCCGGAACUGCUUUGGAAACUGUGCAGCUCGAGUGCAGGAGCGGUCAGCGGACUUCCUCUUGUAGCGGUGCCAUGCGUAGAUAUUAGGAGGAACACCAGUGGCGAAGGCGGCUUACUGUCCUGUACCUGACGUUGAGGCUCGAACGCGUGGGGAGCAAACAGGAUUAGAUACCCCUGUAGUC
rnacentral:rRNA from 1 species